UCUGGUGCUGCCUGUCCUAGUGACCUGAAAACCAAUGAAAAUAUAUAAUUUCUAUGCUUAACAUGCCAAAGUCUACUAUAAAUUCAAGUGUUGUGGAUAUGCACAGCACAAAUGUUCAAGAAAUUACCGUUGCCUGCUGGCUUCAGUUGCUGUUACUAUUUCAAUUUAAAAUUAUACAAUUCAAGAACAACAAAUUCACAAAGCAUUAUAGAAAUCACAACAGCCAUAAGAAACACCAUAAUAGGAAGAGCAAGAAACUUACAGGCCAGCAAUAACCACGUUG
rnacentral:misc_RNA from 1 species